UGAGGCACUGGAGCUGGCGCCGCUGUGCUGCCUGAGGAUCCUUCUGGCAUCCCCACCUCACCCUCAGCCCACCACCACAUGGAAGGGUGUUUGCAAACAGCAAGGGACUGGCCACCAGACAUUGCUGGAGAGAAGAAGUUAUGCACAGCUUCUCUAGACCCCAGACUAUGGUUGCCCAGAGAAGCCUGAUGAUCUUCUGGCUGGUACUGAUGGUGGAGCUGAGGCAACUGCACUGAUCUCUCUCUCUCCAUCAACAUACUGCCUUGUCUCGAGGAAGGAGGCCUUGGAUCAGCCUCGACUUUGCUCCCAGCUGUCUUUCCUGGUCCUCCUGUUAUGGGGACAGCUUCUGGGGGCAGAACUCUUGUUACAGAGCCAUAGAACCAUACUGGUUGGAAAAGACCCUUCAGAUCAUCAAGUGCAACCAUUCCAUGUUGUAGAAUGAGAGCUGACCUGAGCAUACCGGAAACUUAUGAUGAUGCCGAAGGAGGACAAAGUGAGAGGAAUCACCUUUCUACUGAUGGCAGAGGAAAUCUGGGCAAGAAGUCAC
rnacentral:lncRNA from 1 species